AUUGAACGCUGGCGGCAUGCCUUACACAUGCAAGUCGAACGGCAGCACGGGAGCUUGCUCCUGGUGGCGAGUGGCGAACGGGUGAGUAAUACAUCGGAACGUACCCUGAAGUGGGGGAUAACGUAGCGAAAGUUACGCUAAUACCGCAUAUUCUGUGAGCAGGAAAGAGGGGGAUCGCAAGACCACUUGCUUUAGGAGCGGCCGAUGUCGGAUUAGCUAGUUGGUGAGGUAAAGGCUCACCAAGGCGACGAUCCGUAGCGGGUCUGAGAGGAUGAUCCGCCACACUGGGACUGAGACACGGCCCAGACUCCUACGGGAGGCAGCAGUGGGGAAUUUUGGACAAUGGGCGCAAGCCUGAUCCAGCCAUGCCGCGUGAGUGAAGAAGGCCUUCGGGUUGG
rnacentral:rRNA from 1 species